GCUAAUGUUGAAGAUUCUACAGCUUUGGCUGUUGCGCUAUCUGGGCACUGUAAGGCACGUAAUGAAAUGGUCUUUGAGCAAAGAACAUGGACCAGUGCAGAUAUUAGAGAUAAGGCUGUAUUAGUCCAGCAUCACUUCAUCAUGAGCAGACAGUACCCUGUAGGUCAGAGUUUGGCACCUGUCUAGACAAAACUAACGGCGAAGCCACUUGGCAAGCACCUCCACCAGGUCACUUCAAGGCCAAUUUUGACGGGGCAGUCAUUCAGCAUUGCAACUUUGGACCUCAGUGGGUGAUAGCUCGCAAUCACUUGGGUGACCUGUGUUAUGCCGAGCACGACACUGCACCAGUGCCCCGCUGGGCUUUUUACUUAAAUAAGGAAAAAAAAAAAGAGGAAAUAUUUCCUCAGCUGUCUUUCUUUGGCACGUGAAGAGUGUUGAAAUUUUAUUAAAAAUGGACGAUAUUUAAAGUGACGAGCAUUGUAGAGUGUAAGGUCGAAAACUUAGAGUGUCGACUAUUCACAAAGAAUAUGAAAUCUGUCGGUCACACCUGCUAUAGACACUGAUAAACAAGACUUGACACUCUUUGACGUCACGAGCAUAUGAUCGGCACUAUGACUAGCGAUCACAUGCCUUCCCAUUUAUAUAUAUAUUAUAUAUACACUUCUCCUUUCUUUCGGUUUGGUUAGUUUCUUUUACUCCUGUGAGUUUUCUCCUUUCUUCUAUACGACUAUCGAUCAAAUUAGAAAAAAAAUAGAGAGAAAGAAAAAUAAUACAGAGCAAAAAAUAAAGAAAAAGAGAAAGGGUUGGGUGAGGUAAAAAGAGUUGUUAUUUUGAGAUAGCGUGAAGAACUUACGUGGGGUAAGAAGUACUUGUUUUUUUUUUUUCAGUUUAUUAAAUUAUAAUAUAUAUUAUAAUUUUAUGAUAUUCUUUUUUAUUUUAAUUUAAAUUGUAGAUUAUUAAUACAAAAAACAGAUAAAAAAGAAAGAGCUGCACGAGGUACGUAGAAAUUUUUUACGUGAAACUAUUUGUGUAUUUAUUUUAUUUUAUGAUGUUUAUAUUUUUAUUAAUUUUUACUUUAUUUCUAUAUUUCAUUAUAGAUUUUGAUGUGUUGUAUUUGUUAUGUGAUGUUUAUAUUAUUUUGAAUUUUUUUAGUUAAAUAAAUAAAGAAUUUAAACUAGAAUAAACUAUAUAUUAAUUAUUUUUUGCUUAAUACCAUGUAAACUUAUCUUGAUGCAUACGCUGAAAAUUUUUUAUGAUAAAUUUAUAUGUCUAUUUUAUGUAUAUUGUAUUUGUAUAUAUGUAUAUUAUUUUUUGAUGUUUAUAUGUUUCUGUUUUUUUGUUAUUUAAUUUUAAUUCAUAUAUUAUUGUAAUUUUGAUAUGUAUUUUUAUUUAUAUGUGAUGUUUAUAUUAUGUUAAAUUUUUUGACUUAAAUAAAUUAAAAUUUUAAAUCAAAAUAAAAAUGAUAUAUUUAGAAACAUAAAAAAAUAUAUUUCAUUUUAAAUGCAUUUUUUUUAUUUUAGUUUAAUAUUAAUUUUUAUGUUGUAUCAGUUUUUUAAAAAAUCAUUUUAACUACCAAUAGUAUCAAAUGAUAUUUAAAAAAUUUCAUUGAAAUGUUUUUUUUUUUAAAUCAAAUGCCAUAACCUUUUAAUUACUAAACCAAAUCUUACUAAUAUCACGUGCUAGGAAAUAGUUUUAAAGAAUGUAAUAAUAGAGUUGACGUAUUUUUUACUUUUAAAAUAUGUAUAAUAAUUAAACAUGAUAAGUUUGUCAUGUAUCGUUGCUUAUUGGGCUGGAAAUAUAAUUUAGAAUUAAUCAUAUUUUCUAAAAAAUGAUAAGAAGCAGAGAUAGAUUGUUUAUAUAAAAAUUUAUAGAUGAGAAUAGAUAAUACUCCUAUGGCACCGACCGAGACGUAAUAGAAGACAACCGACUAGUGGUACAGAAGAACAGGUCAAUGGUGUAACCUCUCCUCCACAGGAAAUUGCAGUUAAAAUGGAAGACAUCACCAAUCUUAGCGAGAACUUUGCUAGCGGUUUGUUUAGUUUUGUACCCACGUAAUGUUAACUGGGUGGCUCACGAUGUAGCCAAAAGAAAGCCCCAACUCAUUCUCUUGUCAGCCCGUCUAG
rnacentral:lncRNA from 1 species